AGAGUUUGAUCAUGGCUCAGAACGAACGCUGGCGGCAGGCUUAACACAUGCAAGUCGAACGCUCCGCAAGGAGAGUGGCAGACGGGUGAGUAACGCGUGGGAAUCUACCCAGUUCUACGGAACAACUGAGGGAAACUUCAGCUAAUACCGUAUACGCCCUAUGGGGGAAAGAUUUAUCGGAAUUGGAUGAGCCCGCGUAAGAUUAGCUAGUUGGUGAGGUAAUGGCUCACCAAGGCGACGAUCUUUAGCUGGUCUGAGAGGAUGAUCAGCCACACUGGGACUGAGACACGGCCCAGACUCCUACGGGAGGCAGCAGUGGGGAAUAUUGGACAAUGGGCGCAAGCCUGAUCCAGCCAUGCCGCGUGAGUGAUGAAGGCCUUAGGGUUGUAAAGCUCUUUCAGUGGGGACGAUAAUGACGGUACCCACAGAAGAAGCCCCGGCUAACUUCGUG
rnacentral:rRNA from 1 species